rnacentral:rRNA from 1 species
UACAGAGGGGGCAAGCGUUGUUCGGAAUUACUGGGCGUAAAGGGCGCGUAGGCGGCCUUCUAAGUCGAACGUGAAAUCCCCGGCUCAACCCGGGAACUGCGUCCGAUACUGGAAGGCUUGAAUCCGGGAGAGGGAUGCGGAAUUCCAGGUGUAGCGGUGAAAUGCGUAGAGUAUCUGGAGGAACACCGGUGGCGAAGGCGGCGAUCCGUGGACCGGUAGUUGACGCGU